rnacentral:rRNA from 1 species
GUUGGCUUAGAAGCAGCCAUCAUUUAAAGAGUGCGUAAUAGCUCACUAGUCGAGUGACACUGCGCCGAAAAUGUACCGGGGCUAAACAUAUUACCGAAGCUGUGGAUUGUCCUUUGGACAAUGGUAGGAGAGCGUUCUAAGGGCGUUGAAGCAUGAUCGUAAGGACAUGUGGAGCGCUUAGAAGUGAGAAUGCCGGUGUGAGUAGCGAAAGACGGGUGAGAAUCCCGUCCACCGAUUGACUAAGGUUUCCAGAGGAAGGCUCGUCCGCUCUGGGUUAGUCGGGUCCUAAGCUGAGGCCGACAGGCGUAGGCGAUGGAUAACAGGUUGAUAUUCCUGUACCACCUAUAAUCGUUUUAAUCGAUGGGGGGACGCAGUAGGAUAGGCGAAGCGUGCGAUUGGAUUGCACGUCUAAGCAGUAAGGCUGAGUAUUAGGCAAAUCCGGUACUCGUUAAGGCUGAGCUGUGAUGGGGAGAAGACAUUGUGUCUUCGAGUCGUUGAUUUCACACUGCCGAGAAAAGCCUCUAGAUAGAAAAUAGGUGCCCGUACCGCAAACCGACACAGGUAGUCAAGAUGAGAAUUCUAAGGUGAGCGAGCGAACUCUCGUUAAGGAACUCGGCAAAAUGACCCCGUAACUUCGGGAGAAGGGGUGCUCUUUAGGGUUAACGCCCAGAAGAGCCGCAGUGAAUAGGCCCAAGCGACUGUUUAUCAAAAACACAGGUCUCUGCUAAACCGUAAGGUGAUGUAUAGGGGCUGACGCCUGCCCGGUGCUGGAAGGUUAAGAGGAGUGGUUAGCUUCUGCGAAGCUACGAAUCGAAGCCCCAGUAAACGGCGGCCGUAACUAUAACGGUCCUAAGGUAGCGAAAUUCCUUGUCGGGUAAGUUCCGACCCGCACGAAAGGCGUAACGAUUUGGGCACUGUCUCAACGAGAGACUCGGUGAAAUCAUAGUACC